UGGCCUGGAGUGCCGUAGUGCCGGGUGGUCGCUGGUGCCCGGUCCUCCGUCCGUGAUGACGUCCAGCAAGCGAGUGGCGAAGGAGCUGGAGGAUCUUCAGGAGGCGCUUCCCCCGUAUCUCCGACACCUGUCCUGCGAUGAUGCCAAUGUCCUGGUGUGGCAUGCGCUCCUCUUGCCCGACCAACCUCCCUACCACCUCAGGGCCUUCCGUCUGCGCAUCGACUUCCCCAGGGAGUAUCCGCUGAAGCCCCCCACCAUCAAGUUCACCACCAAGAUCUACCACCCCAACGUGGACGAGAAUGGGCAGGUUUGCCUGCCCCUCAUCAGCACUGUGAACUGGAAGCCUCACACCAAGAUCUGCCAAGUCUUGGAGACCCUCAACGUGCUGGUGAACAAUCCAGACCUGAGGGAGCCUGUGAGGAUAGAACUCGCUGACCUGCUGGCUCAGAGCCCUGAGGUGUUCAAGAGGAAGGCUGAGGAGUUCACCCUCCAAUUCGGAGAGAGCCGGCCCUCCUGAUUCUGGUGCUGAGCCGCUCUGUCCUGCCUCCUCUGCCUGGUGGAUGGUAUGAUGUUCUGUGAGGACUGGGGGUCCAGAGACAGAAGAGGGGGAUGUGGGCAGGAUGCAGGACACAUGGAAAUCACCGUAAUUCCCAGGCGGGCACAGAUUCAGGAUCUAAACCUUUUCUUUUUCACAUGGAUCACAAGACAAUUCUGACUCCAGUCCUGGCGACUUGCUGUGCCCUCUGGCUUCUGGUCCAGGGGGGUGAGGGUUUCAUGCACUUGCCUGUUCUUGAAAGCCAGAGAUGAAUUCUGGACAUCGGCGGAGUCUUUGUUGAUGAUGGGCUGGGAAUUCCACAGCCAGCUAACAAAACGUGUGAUCUUGACUCUCAGU